AUUGAACGCUGGCGGCAGGCCUAACGCAUGCAAGUCGAGCGGGGUUUUCGGACCUAGCGGCGGACGGGUGAGUAAUGCGUAGGAAGCUACCCGAUAGAGGGGGAUACCAGUUGGAAACGACUGUUAAUACCGCAUAAUGUCUACGGACCAAAGUGUGGGACCUUCGGGCCACAUGCUAUCGGAUGCGCCUACGUGGGAUUAGCUAGUUGGUGGGGUAAUGGCUCACCAAGGCGACGAUCCCUAGCUGGUUUGAGGGGAUGAUCAGCCACACUGGAACUGAGACACGGUCCAGACUCCUGCGGGGGGAAGAAGUGGGGAAUAUUGGACAAUGGGCGCCAGCCUGAUCCAGCCAUGCCGCGUGUGUGAAGAAGGCCUUCGGGUUGUAAAGCACUUUCAGUAGGGAGGAAGGGUGUUGUGUUAAUAGCACAGCAUUUUGACGUUACCUACAGAAGAAGCACCGGCUAACUCUGUGCCAGCCGCCGCCGUAAGAC
rnacentral:rRNA from 1 species